GCUAUGCUUAUAGUCCCAGCUACUCGGGAGGCUGAUACAUGAGGAUUGCUUCAGUCCAGGAGUUCUGGGCUAUAAUGCACUGUGCCAAUCGGGUGUCCACACUAAGUUCGUCAUCAAUAUAGUGACCUCCCGGGAGCUGGGGGCCACCAGGUUGUAUAAGGAGGGGUGAACGGGCCCAGGUCGGAGUGCUGAUCAGUAGUGGGAUGGCGCCUGUGAAUAGCCACUGCUCUCCAGCCUGGGCAACAUAGUGAGACCCCAUCUCUA
rfam:Otolemur garnettii contig105728, whole genome shotgun sequence.